GAUCCCAGUGUGUACUGGGCCUCUUACAUUCUGCAGAUAAGGACCAACAGGUUGACGUAUUUUCUAUGUUUUGCGCCACUUUAUUUCUGCAUCUGAUUGAUGAUUUCUUUUUUCUACAACCCUGGGCCUAUGAGCAUCUGGACUUCCUAUCUCCGGCUUGGGUGGAUCGAGACCGUGCUAACUUCCCACUCACCUAAAAUGGAGUUUAGGUGUGACCCCCCAUCUUCAUCCUAUUUCUGGGAAAGACAUUCUGAAUCAGCUUACCGGGGUGAAUUGGGCUCCAUUUCAAUCUGCGACCUUCCCUUUGCAACUCACGGGGACGAGGCCAGAUGGCUCACUGGUCUUCACGUCUUAUUUAGAGGUCCCAAUGGUUCAACGUGGUAUAUCAGGGAAAGAGUCGCCGACAGUGGUUUGAUUCGGACGGCUAAUUGGAUCCACUUCAUCCCCCUACGUCCAUGCAUGAUCCUGAUGCAAUGCCCAAGAAAGAGUUCCAGGCAGCCUUGAUUGGCGUGACAGACCACUUCACUGACUCGGCGGGGAGUUAUCAGGAGUUUCUUCAGCAAGAAACCGUGUGUGUGCUCUUGACGUCCGACGACCCUCGGGUCUGUCGAUGACUCUACAGAGGAUUCUACACACAUGAGCACCGGGCUAGUUCAUAACAUAGCAGAGCAUUUUUCCUCCAUCACUGGUUUCCCCAGUUGGACUUACUGUGAUGCGCGGAAAAUUGCAGCCUAGGUCAUGUUACCCAGAACGACAGUGGCUCCUGAUACUAUGGGUCUCCCUUCCUUUUGACUGUGUUUCUCCAUCUGUCUACACCGAGUGCCGCUUGAUGAUUCAGAGCCUGGAUACCUGCAUAUACCACCAGACGGAGCGGAAUCGUGACAUGGAGCUGUACGUUGCUGAUAUCGAGGCAUGGCUACGUCGCUUGGACCCUGGGUUCGGAGGUAGAGGUGCCAACAUUGACUAUGGAGGUGGAGUUCCUGAUCCUGGUCAUGGAUGUGUUAGCCCGAGUAACUGAAGAGGCGGGUCUGGCUUUGGAUUUGGAGGUGGAGAUCCUGCUUUUGGCAACGGGUACGAGUUCGGAGGUGAAGAGAUCGAUAAGGGUCCCACCGUUUCUCUGGAGGAGCUGAAACUCCUCAUGUAGGAGGACAUUCAUGAUGUACAGGGUGGCCAUGAUGGGAAUGAUGGGCAGCCAUAGGACUGGCACAUGUUUGUGCAUGCAAACUUUUACUUCAUUUGGACUUUUUCUUUUCAUUAUUUUUUCUUCUGUUUUUGAAAAUUUCUGCUUUGCUUAAUUGAUGAAACAAUGCAAGAUGAUUUCAUGAGGUCAAGUCCUCUUACAUUGGCUAAACCCUAACAAGAAAAUCAACCAUAGGCAUUGUCAACUCUUGUGGUGGGUAGAAAUUUUUUGUCUUCUCAGGUUCUCCUUGGGGAAUCUGGUACUGCUGCAUCAUGUAUGAGGGGAGAUAGAAUGAAGUGCUGGUCAGACCCAUCAAUUUGAUGUAGUUACAAUCAGGGGUCUUUAGUAGAAAGUUGGCUUGUGGCCACCAGUGGCAAUUCCAAUUUAAGGUUUCCCGAGUUUUCCCUGUAGGUACUUUGCUUAGUCAGUGAUGCCUUCAAAUCCAAGAAUCUCCCUUUUGUCUUGGUA